AGGCUAAGAAGAUAUAUUCUAGAAAAAAUAUUUCUCCUAUUAAACUGAGAGAGGGCCAUGAAGCCAUGGUGAGACACCCUGUCAAACUUGUGUAGAAUUUCUGUGGGUCCCUGGGAUCCUGGUUCAGAAGGUAGAAAUUGUACAAGUACAAUUAACACUGAUGGAGAAAAAAUUAUUCAACACGUGGGGGAAAAAUGAAAUGUGAAUAGCUGAGGUAAGGCUUGAUUUAAAUUAAUAAUUUUGUAAAUGCACCUAAUCUCUACCCAGAUUCAUUUUCAGUAUUAAUUUCUUAACACAUAUUUAGGGUUUAAGUCAGAAUAAAGGUAUGUAUUUCAUAUGUGUAAACUAGAUCCAACUUCAUCUGUAUUAUUCUGUGUGUUUUCAUUUUGGAAAAUCAGACAAAUAAUUCCAUGGAUCCACUUUAUGAAUAGAAAUAUUUACUUCAUUUCCUACUAAAAACUUAUUUAUUGUUAAUAAACUUUUUUUCUUUCUACUCUAAAGCGUUUUUAAAGUGGCAAUCAAAAUGCUAUUAAUGUUUUUCAUCUAUCCACAACUUUUCAGUCUUUUAUAUUCCAUCCUCACAGAUAUAAUGACAUAUGCAGCAAUGCAGAAGUUUUUUCAUUUGGAUUCAUUAAUAUAAUGUGACUGGAAAGAUACGUGAAAAAUCCAAGAUCUGAUGCAGGCCAAAAUAAUGAGUUAGGAUACAGAAAUACUGUAUAAGUAUUUCUAUUAAUAUUCAAAAUUAAGCAGAAUGGUUUAGAUGUUAGUGUGCUAAUGAAUUGCUUAAGCAAGAGUUAAAUAUCUUUAAACGUAUUUUCUUCACUGGUAACAUUGAAAGUAUUGAACAUUGAAAAUAAGCUUGUCUUUUUUAGUAUCUAAAGAUCUGAAUAGCUUGUGUCCAAGAGAAAAAGGAGUCACCUGAGGAGCCCUAUGAAUCAUUGACAUAUUUUUUUGUUGCUUUUUACUGUGUAGCACAUUUUACCUUUUGCUUUAUAAGAAGGUAAAUAGAAAGCUGCAGUUGGAGUUACUCUGACAAACAAAUGCAGUUUUACUGAGGCUAUUUGUGGAAAACUGUUCUGCUGCCCCCAC